rnacentral:lncRNA from 1 species
UUCCGGUUGACAUUCUGGGUAAUGAGUGUCGAUUGGGACACCGCAGCGGUUGUCACAAGCUCGCAGGGAGUACCGGGUCGUGACAACAAGAGUGAAGAAAUUUAGCAUCCUAAAGUUCUUUUGGAUGAAGGCAUUAUGCAUAGGUUUUAGGCUUGUGAGUAUUCAAUUGCAGGAGGAAGUUCUUCAUCGGCUCCACGCCAUCAACCACAGUAGCA